AUGACAAGCGAUCAAGUUGUGCUUGGAGCCCAUUGCCUGCACACGUUGACUUGCGGAGGCACACCUCCUCCCAGAGCUCUUUGGAAUCCUCCGAAUCCGGCCAAAUUUCUGUGGGCUCCACAGGACGCAGCAGAGAAGAGUAUGCUGUAAUGGCUGACCUGCCAAAAGUUAAAAGAGUUCAACAGAAGGAGGGGCCAAGUCAGUCAGAACGGACACAUGUUCAACUUUUCAAACCAGCCAGGUGUGCAUUGUGUGUAACAAAUCUCGAUAUUAUACUACAAAUUAUAAAUUAUUAUGCCUUUUUAGCCAUUCAGUGAGCAGGCAACCAUCAAGAGAUGAUCUCGGGGACACAGAAUGGCCUUACAGUGGCAGUGGCAAUGGCUAUCUAUCAAGAGCCCAUUCCACCACCUCAUUGCAUAGGUCCGGCAGUCCAACCACUGAAGAGGGCACUUGGAAAAGCAAACAGCACAGGUCAGAGCAAAUGCAGGUAUGUGUAGGCAUGUCUGCAUUGCAUGUGGAUUAUUCAGUACAAAAGUUUUAUUAUUAAGCAAUUUUGUGUUUUUUGUUUUGUUUUGUGUUUUCCAUUGGUAUAACUUGAGGACUUAAAAUGAAAUUGAAAGAGAAUAUUUAUUGGUCACAAUUCCUUGUAACCAUGUCAUCAAAUUGGAUACACGCACACGUCUUUAGAGCUUGUUUUGAGCCUACACCCUCGGGGCAUUUCAUGAGGCUUGACUGAGCUUAGUCAAAUGUGUUCUGCUGGGGCAUGUGUUCAAAUUCCUUGAGUGAAACCAACAGCUACCAAAGAGGAAUUUUAGAGGGGAACUAAGCCACUUGACAGCUCUUGAGUUUUCAGUCUGAAAAUAGUGGGAUAAAAAGAUGCUCAAGAGUGGUCAUCAAUAACCCUGGCAUAUAACGCGUGUCCGGGUUGGAUCAAAGUGAGACUCCAUUUCAUUGAUGCGAUUUCCUGUAACCUCAUUAAUAUAGCACAAUUUGUCCAGAGUUUUGGGUGCAUUUUUGGGAGCACUUGUUUGUGUGCGCGUAGACCGGAGGACGCAGCACGGCGUGUCUCUGAGCUGGAUCUGUUUUCAUACACGAUCUUCGCGGAUCCGCCCAGGAGGAAGUUACAGACAGGACAUAGCAGCGAGCAGAAAAGGAUUUUGUAGUGCUCGUAACUUCUUACGACAUUGGAAUAAUGCUUCUUUUCAACAAACGCUAAGUUGUAACAACUUUUGGACUCGAAUGGACGCAUGGUCUCUCCAAGCAGAGAAGCGUCGCUGGCGGCUUUUGACAAACUUAACAUGGAGUUGAAUGGCGGGCUUUUAUCUACUUAGGAUUGAAAUACUGCAAUUUUGGGCCUUUCAAGUUAAAAUCAUUUUCUGCUUUGAGUAACCUCGUUUUUUUGUGUUUUUGACUGC
rnacentral:lncRNA from 1 species